UUUUGGUUAAGUUAAUAAGGGCGCACGGUGGAUGCCUUGGCACUAGGAGUCGAUGAAGGACGGCACUAACACCGAUAUGCCUCGGGGAGCUGUAAGUAAGCUUUGAUCCGGGGAUUUCCGAAUGGGGGAACCCACUAUCUUUAAUCGGAUAGUAUCUUCACGUGAAUUCAUAGCGUGUUGAAGACAGACGCAGGGAACUGAAACAUCUAAGUACCUGCAGGAACAGAAAGAAAAUUCGAUUCCCUGAGUAGCGGCGAGCGAAACGGGAAGAGCCCAAACCAAAGAGCUUGCUCUUUGGGGUUGUAGGACACUCUAUACGGAGUUACAAAAGAAUGAAUUAGACGAAGCGACUUGGAAAGGUCCGCGAAACAAGGUAAAAGCCCUGUAGUCAAAAGUUYAUUCCCUCCAGAGUGGAUCCUGAGUACGGCGGAACACGUGAAAUUCCGUCGGAAUCCGGGAGGACCAUCUCCCAAGGCUAAAUACUACCUAGUGACCGAUAGUGAACCAGUACCGUGAGGGAAAGGUGAAAAGCACCCCGGAAGGGGAGUGAAAUAGAYCCUGAAACCGUGUGCCUACAAGUAGUUAGAGCCCGUUAAUGGGUGAUAGCGUGCCUUUUGUAGAAUGAACCGGCGAGUUACGAUUACGUGCGAGGUUAAGUUGAGAAGACGGAGCCGCAGCGAAAGCGAGUCUGAAUAGGGCGAAUUAGUACGUGGUCGUAGACCCGAAACCAGGUGAUCUACCCAUGUCCAGGGUGAAGGUGAGGUAACACUCACUGGAGGCCCGAACCCACGCACGUUGAAAAGUGCGGGGAUGAGGUGUGGGUAGCGGAGAAAUUCCAAUCGAACCUGGAGAUAGCUGGUUCUCUCCGAAAUAGCUUUAGGGCUAGCCUCGUGAUUGAGAAUACCGGAGGUAGAGCACUGUUUGGACUAGGGGGGCAUCUCGCUUUACCGAAUUCAGACAAACUCCGAAUGCCGGAUAUUUAUACACGGGAGUCAGACUGCGAGUGAUAAGAUCCGUAGUCAAGAGGGAAACAGCCCAGACCACCAGCUAAGGUCCCCAAGUAAUCGUUAAGUGGAAAAGGAUGUGGCGUUGCUUAGACAACCAGGAUGUUGGCUUAGAAGCAGCCAUCAUUUAAAGAGUGCGUAAUAGCUCACUGGUCGAGUGACGCUGCGCCGAAAAUGUAUCGGGGCUAAACGAUUCACCGAAGCUGUGGAUGCAUACUUWGAGUAUGCGUGGUAGGAGAGCGUUCUAACAGCGUUGAAGUCAGACCGGAAGGACUGGUGGAGCGGUUAGAAGUGAGAAUGCCGGUAUGAGUAGCGAAACAUGGGUGAGAAUCCCAUGCACCGUAUGACUAAGGUUUCCUGAGGAAGGCUCGUCCGCUCAGGGUUAGUCGGGACCUAAGCCGAGGCCGAUAGGCGUAGGCGAUGGACAACAGGUUGAUAUUCCUGUACCACCUCCUCACCGUUUGAGAAAUGGGGGGACGCAGUAGGAUAGGGUAAGCACGCCGUUGGUUGCGCGUGUUCAAGCAGUAAGGCGUGUAUGUAGGCAAAUCCGCAUACUWUAACGUUGAGCUGUGAUGACGAGCUCGUAUGAGCGAAGUUCCUGAUUUCACACUGCCAAGAAAAGCCUCUAUCGAGGUGAGAGGUGCCCGUACCGCAAACCGACACAGGUAGUCGAGGAGAGAAUCCUAAGGUGUGCGAGAGAACUCUCGUUAAGGAACUCGGCAAAAUGACCCCGUAACUUCGGGAGAAGGGGUGCUUCUUUGGGUGCAUAGCCUAGAGAAGCCGCAGUGAAUAGGCCCAGGCGACUGUUUAGCAAAAACACAGGUCUCUGCAAAACCGUAAGGUGACGUAUAGGGGCNUAACGUUGAGCUGUGAUGACGAGCUCGUAUGAGCGAAGUUCCUGAUUUCACACUGCCAAGAAAAGCCUCUAUCGAGGUGAGAGGUGCCCGUACCGCAAACCGACACAGGUAGUCGAGGAGAGAAUCCUAAGGUGUGCGAGAGAACUCUCGUUAAGGAACUCGGCAAAAUGACCCCGUAACUUCGGGAGAAGGGGUGCUUCUUUGGGUGCAUAGCCUAGAGAAGCCGCAGUGAAUAGGCCCAGGCGACUGUUUAGCAAAAACACAGGUCUCUGCAAAACCGUAAGGUGACGUAUAGGGGCUGACGCCUGCCCGGUGCUGGAAGGUUAAGAGGAGCGGUUAGCGCAAGCGAAGCUGUGAAUUGAAGCCCCAGUAAACGGCGGCCGUAACUAUAACGGUCCUAAGGUAGCGAAAUUCCUUGUCGGGUAAGUUCCGACCCGCACGAAAGGCGUAACGAUCUGGGCACUGUCUCAACGAGAGACUCGGUGAAAUUAUAGUACCUGUGAAGAUGCAGGUUACCCGCGACAGGACGGAAAGACCCCGUGGAGCUUUACUGUAGCCUGAUAUUGAAUUUUGGUACAACUUGUACAGGAUAGGUAGGAGCCAGAGAUCUCGGAGCGCCAGCUUCGAAGGAGGCGUCGGUGGGAUACUACCCU
rnacentral:rRNA from 1 species